GACGAACGCUGGCGGCGUGCCUAAUACAUGCAAGUUGAGCGAUGAAGAUUGGUGCUUGCACCAAUUUGAAGAGCAGCGAACGGGUGAGUAACGCGUGGGGAAUCUGCCUUUGAGCGGGGGACAACAUUUGGAAACGAAUGCUAAUACCGCAUAACAACUUUAAACAUAAGUUUUAAGUUUGAAAGAUGCAAUUGCAUCACUCAAAGAUGAUCCCGCGUUGUAUUAGCUAGUUGGUGAGGUAAAGGCUCACCAAGGCGAUGAUACAUAGCCGACCUGAGAGGGUGAUCGGCCACAUUGGGACUGAGACACGGCCCAAACUCCUACGGGAGGCAGCAGUAGGGAAUCUUCGGCAAUAGACGAAAGUCUGACCGAGCAACGCCGCGUGAGUGAAGAAGGUUUUCGGAUCAUAAAACUCUGUUGGUAGAGAAGAACGUUGGUGAGAGUGGAAAGCUCAUCAAGUGACGGUAACUACCCAGAAAGGGACGGCUAACUACGUG
rnacentral:rRNA from 1 species